UACGUAGGGGGCAAGCGUUGUCCGGAUUUAUUGGGCGUAAAGGGCUUGUAGGCGGCUUGGCAAGUCGGGUGUGAAAACUCCAGGCUCAACCUGGAGACGCCACCCGAUACUGCCAUGGCUAGAGUCCGGUAGGGGACCACGGAAUUCCUGGUGUAGCGGUGAAAUGCGCAGAUAUCAGGAGGAACACCGGUGGCGAAGGCGGUGGUCUGGGCCGGAACUGACGCUGAUGAGCGAAAGCGUGGGGAGCAAACAGG
rnacentral:rRNA from 1 species